rnacentral:lncRNA from 1 species
CUGCAUAAAUAAUUAAAUAAAGGAUAUGCGUAAGACAAAUACCACAGCAAACUGAACAAAGAAGACACUUGAAGAUGAGAAAAGGAGAAUAGCUCUCAUAAGAAAUUAGAAUACUUAGAAAAGGAAUUAAAAAAGACCCUUCUUAUUAAAUAUAGUAAAAGUGCAAUGUUUUAGUCUAUGAAGCACGGAUACUUCAAAUUUCAUGCCGUACCCGUAUCGGAUACGUAUCGAAUACCGAUACGCGCCCGAUACGCGCCCGAUACGUGUCCGAUACGGGAAUGAAGUAUCGGGCAUUUUUAAAAAAUAAAAAAAUAUCGGAUACGGCUCGGAUACGUGAGGGAUACGGGGGGAUACGAGGGGGACACGGCCAGGUUCUUUUUUGAUCUAAAAUGAUCGAAACUUAAAAUUUUUUUAAAACACUCACGUCCAAACCUAUUAGAAAGAAGGAAAAGAGUGAGAAAAACGUCAAUCUCUGUUCAAUUUGUCAUUUCAUAUAUCUUUUUGCUCCUGAAUGGUAGAAGGCGCUCCCUCUCGUUCUAUCUUCACACAGUAUAUGCUCUCUUUCAUCUAAUUUGUCAACCUAGCAUUAAGCAACAAAGGCUAUAGAAAAUAUGAUUUUUUUAUUUCUCUAUUACAUUGCUACCAUAUUUUUUUAUUACUAUUUUAAUAAUAGAACUAACAAAACAGACAUGUAUAUUGAAUGACUAAUUAUCUAGUUUGUGCAACUACAUAUCUAUUGUUAUCAUUUGAUCAAGUUGGAUGACAGUUGGUUUGAUACUUUUUGAAUUAUUAUUUUAUAUGAUUGAUUAUCUUUUUUUAUGAACAUAUGUAAAACAAUUAUACAAGUUAAUGCAUAUUAGAAUAUAUUCCUUAAUAUAGUCCAGAUAUUCUGAUUGUUCUCAAUAUAUCAUUACAUAUAAUCAACAUAUAUUUAAAUAUAUUUAAAAUAAUAUUUUAUUCAAGUAUAUCCCGCGUAUCGUAUCCUAGAAGUUUUAGGAAUUGCCGUAUCACCGUAUCCGUAUCGUGUCGUAUCCGUAUCCCCGUAUCCGUAUCUGUGCAACAUAGGUUUUAGUACUUCUUGCAAUGAUUAUUCAAUUACAAAAGAAACUAAGACUCAUGAAUGAUGCCAAAAUGUCAACUCCUGUGACAGGGCAUGGGAACUGGCAGGGAUGAAUAGUGACAAAUGCUGGAGCAAGUAAGAAAACAAAUUAGCAGAACCUAGCGAUGCAGAAAAAGACACCAAACUUCAACAUCUGACCAAUCAUAGAGAGUAAUAUUCUAGUCAGAGAUUAUUGAAUCAGCGACUUGUUCAUGAAAAAACCCUAAAACAACUAUGGAAACAAUUGAAG